rnacentral:pre_miRNA from 1 species
UAUAGUAUAGAGAAGGCAAGAUGUUGGCAUAGCUGACAUGUGAAUUAUUUCUCAGAUGUGUCACAUCUAGCCAACUUUUGCU